UACGGGGGGGGCAAGCGUUGUUCGGAAUUACUGGGCGUAAAGGGCUCGUAGGCGGCCAACUAAGUCAGACGUGAAAUCCCUCGGCUUAACCGGGGAACUGCAUCUGAUACUGGAUGGCUUGAGUUCGGGAGAGGGAUGCGGAAUUCCAGGUGUAGCGGUGAAAUGCGUAGAUAUCUGGAGGAACACCGAUGGCGAAGGCAGCUCGCUGGAACGGUACUGACGCUGAGGCGCGAAAGCGUGGGGAGCGAACAGG
rnacentral:rRNA from 1 species